GUAGAUGAACCUGCGGAAGGAUCAUCUACAGAGUUCAUGCCCGAAAGGGUAGACCUCCCACCCUUGUGUAUUAUUACUUUGUUGCUUUGGCGAGCUGCCUUCGGGCCUUGUAUGCUCGCCAGAGAAUACCAAAACUCUUUUUAUUAAUGUCGUCUGAGUACUAUAUAAUAGUUAAAACUUUCAACAACGGAUCUCUUGGUUCUGGCAUCGAUGAAGAACGCAGCGAAAUGCGAUAAGUAAUGUGAAUUGCAGAAUUCAGUGAAUCAUCGAAUCUUUGAACGCACAUUGCGCCCCUUGGUAUUCCGGGGGGCAUGCCUGUUCGAGCGUCAUUUCAACCCUCAAGCUUAGCUUGGUAUUGAGUCUAUGUCAGUAAUGGCAGGCUCUAAAAUCAGUGGCGGCGCCGCUGGGUCCUGAACGUAGUAAUAUCUCUCGUUACAGGUUCUCGGUGUGCUUCUGCCAAAACCCAAAUUUUUCUAUGGUUGACCUCGGAUCAGGUAGGGAAUACCCUCUAAUCUUCCUCACCU
rnacentral:rRNA from 1 species